AAGCAAUGCAUAUGAAUAUCGAAUCCUUCUCGAAAGCAAAGAUCUUGUAUUCUCUAUGAUGAUUAUGGUCGUCUCCUUCUCGAAAGUUUUCUUCUUUCUAUCAUCACUGAAACUGAACCAGAGCGCGAGGCUCACGCUGAGGCUUGAGCAUCAUCCGUUCGUCAUCCGGUGCGAAGCUUCUUCCAACGGAAGGGAAGAAGUCGGAUAUGAAGCUGUGCUGGUGUAGAUGAGCCGAGCAAGAAGAAAAAAAAGAGAAAGAGGGAGAAGACAGAGACGUAAGAAGGGAAGACGAGAAGAUGGAAGAGGAAGGCGACGACAGAGUGGCGUAGAUUAGGUUUAGUAUUGGUUGGUUUAUUAGGUUUGGUUUGGACAUGGUUAGUUUAAUAAACCGGGCUUGUGUAUAAACCAAUGUUAGGAAAUCAACUGAUUAUUAAUUGUAAACCAAUUAUUUGUAUACUGAUCUUAAUUAAUAAAUAAAAUUUAAUUUUUAA